UCCUUCCUUGUCAUGGGGUGAGAAAGAGCUGCUCAGUGAACGCAUAGUGAGAGCAGCCCUGCUGACACCAUAACAACACUUAAGCAUCACCUGGGCCAUUGUCCAGAUACUGGUGCAAUUUUUGAAACC
ensembl:snRNA U4atac minor spliceosomal RNA